rnacentral:rRNA from 1 species
AUAUUGGACAAUGGGCGAAAGCCUGAUCCAGCAAUGCCGCGUGAGUGAUGAAGGCCUUAGGGUUGUAAAGCUCUUUUACUGGGGAUGAUAAUGACAGUACCCAGAGAAUAAGCCUCGGCUAACUCCGUGCCAGCAGCCGCGGUAAUACGGAGGGGGCUAGCGUUGUUCGGAAAUACUGGGCGUAAAGCGCACGUAGGCGGCUCAGCAAGUCAGAGGUGAAAUCCCAGGGCUCAACCCUGGAACUGCCUUUGAAACUGCUAGGCUAGAAUCAUGGAGAGGUCAGUGGAAUUCCGAGUGUAGAGGUGAAAUUCGUAGAUAUUCGGAAGAACACCAGUGGCGAAGGCGACUGACUGGACAUGUAUUGACGCUGAGGUGCGAAAGCGUGGGGAGCAAACAGG